GAUGAACGCUGGCGGCGUGCCUAAUACAUGCAAGUCGAGCGAACAGACGAGGAGCUUGCUCCUCUGACGUUAGCGGCGGACGGGUGAGUAACACGUGGAUAACCUACCUAUAAGACUGGGAGAACUUCGGGAAACCGGAGCUAAUACCGGAUAAUAUAUUGAACCGCAUGGUUCAAUAGUGAAAGACGGUUUUGCUGUCACUUAUAGAUGGAUCCGCGCCGCAUUAGCUAGUUGGUAAGGUAACGGCUUACCAAGGCAACGAUGCGUAGCCGACCUGAGAGGGUGAUCGGCCACACUGGAACUGAGACACGGUCCAGACUCCUACGGGAGGCAGCAGUAGGGAAUAUUCCGCAAUGGGCGCAAGCCUGACGGAGCCACGCCGCGUGAGUGAUGAAGGUCUUCGGAUCGUAAAACUCUGUUAUUAGGGAAGAACAAAUGUGUAAGUAACUAUGCACGUCUUGACGGUACCUAAUCAGAAAGCCACGGCUAACUACGUG
rnacentral:rRNA from 1 species